rnacentral:rRNA from 1 species
GGGCCCGCACAAGCGGCGGAGCAUGCGGCUUAAUUCGAUGCAACGCGAAGAACCUUACCUAGGCUUGACAGUUGGGGAAAUCUGGCAGAGAUGUCAGGUCCGUAAGGGCCCCAAAACAGGUGGUGCAUGGCUGUCGUCAGCUCGUGUCGUGAGAUGUUGGGUUAAGUCCCCGCAACGAGCGCAACCCUCGUCGUAUGUUGCCAGCGGAUAACGCCGGGGGACUCAUACGAGACUGCCGGGGGUCAACUCGGAGGAAGGUGGGGACGACGUCAAGUCAUCAUGCCCCCUUAUGUCUAGGGCUGCACGCAUGCUACAAUGGCCGGUACAGAGGGCUGCGAAACCGCAAGGUG